UGAGGAAUCUUCCACAAUGGACGAAAGUCUGACGGAGUGACGCCGCGUGGAUGAAGAAGGCCGAAAGGUUGUAAAGUUCUUUUGCUAGGGGAGAAUAAGUGAGGGAGGGAAUGCCCUCAUGAUGACAAGGACUUGCGAAUAAGCCCCGGCCAACUACGUGCCAGCAGCCGCGGUAACACGUAGGGGGCGAGCGUUGUUCGGAAUUACUGGGCGUAAAGGGCAUGUAGGCGGCUUGGUAAGCCUGGCGUGAAAGACUGCAGCUUAACUGUAGGGAUGCGUUGGGAACUGCUUAGCUUGAGUUACGGAGAGGGAGCUGGAAUUCCUGGUGUAGGGGUGAAAUCUGUAGAUAUCAGGAAGAACACCGAUGGCGAAGGCAAGCUUCUGGUCGAUAACUGACGCUGAGGUGCGAAAGUGUGGGGAUCAAACA
rnacentral:rRNA from 1 species